rnacentral:rRNA from 1 species
GAUGAACGCUGGCGGCGUGCCUAAUACAUGCAAGUAGAACGCUGAAGGAGGAGCUUGCUCUUCUGGAUGAGUUGCGAACGGGUGAGUAACGCGUAGGUAACCUGCCUGGUAGCGGGGGAUAACUAUUGGAAACGAUAGCUAAUACCGCAUGACAACAGUUAUUGCAUGAUAACUGUUUAAAAGGGGCAACUGCUCCACUACCAGAUGCACCUGCGUUGUAUUAGCUAGUUGGUGUGGUAACGGCUCACCAAGGCGACGAUACAUAGUCGACCUGAUAGGGUGAGCGGCCAGCCUGGGACUGAGAAACGGCUCAGAAUCCCACGGGAGGCAGCAGUAGGGAAGCUUAGGCCAUGGAAGGAAGACAGAUCGUGCUACGCGGCGUGAGGGAAGAGAGCUUUCGGAUCGUAGAGCUCUGUUGUAAGAGAAGAACGAGUGUGAGAGUGGAAAGUUCACACUGUGACGGUAUCUUACCAGAAAGAGACGGCUAACUACGUG